GGUCGGUGGACGAGGUGGUGCAUGGUUGUCGUCAGCUCGUGUCGUGGGAUGUUGGUUAAGUCCCGCAACGAGCGCAACCCUCGUCCUAUGUUGCCAGCGGGUCAUGCCGGGACUCAUGGGAGACUGCCGGGGUCAACUCGGAGGAAGUGGGAUGACGUCAAAUCAUCAUGCCCCUUAUGUCUUGGGCUUCACGCAUGCUACAAUGGCCGGUACAAAGGGCUGCGAUACCGCGAGGUGGAGCGAAUCCCAGAAAGCCGGUCUCAGUUCGGAUUGGGGUCUGCAACUCGACCCCAUGAAGUCGGAGUCGCUAGUAAUCGCAGAUCAGCAACGCUGCGGUGAAUACGUUCCCGGGCCUU
rnacentral:rRNA from 1 species